rnacentral:rRNA from 1 species
UACGUAGGUGGCAAGCGUUGUCCGGAUUUACUGGGCGUAAAGAGCGCGCAGGCGGUCGAGUAAGUCGAAUGUGAAAGCCCCCGGCUUAACUGGGGAGGGUCAUUCGAUACUGUUCGACUUGAAGGCAGGAGAGGGCAGCAGAAUUCCCGGUGUAGUGGUGAAAUGUGUUGAUAUUGGAAGGAACACCGGAGGCGAAAGCGGUGUACUGGGGCUGGUCUGACGCUGAGGCACGAAAGCCAGGGGAGCGAACGGG